ensembl:lncRNA PDE7B-AS1 PDE7B antisense RNA 1
GCCUGCCACCAUAUAAGACAUGCCUUUGCUCCUCCUUUGGCUUCCACCAUGAUUGUGAGGCCUCCCCAGCCAUGUGGAACUCACUUCUCCUUCCUGUCACCAUGUGAAGAAGGACGUGUUUGCUUCCCCUUCUGCUAUGAUUGUAAGCUUCCUGAGGCCUCCCCAGCCCUGCAGAACUGACAAACUUGCCAAAUACUGCAAGAAAAGAUGUUGCUGAUCACGGAUAGGAAAUACUCCAAGUCCCAGGAGAUAGUCUGUUCUUAGGAGACUUCCACACCAAGUCUGCUGACCAGAGAAGGACCAGUCAACCACCACACUCUCCGCUGGAGCCCACUCAGCACCAGGAAGUAUUUGGGAGUUCUUCAUUCCAGACAUCUGUGCCAACAUGGCACUUGGGAUUCUUUUAAACUCCAAGUGUUGUUCAUUUUUUGUUUGUUUUUCAGGAAGGAAACAGAUGGAAAAACCUAGACUUGGUGAUAUUAAGAACUGAGGCCUUUUGGGAAGUGAUUAAGUCUUGAGGGCUCUGCCCUCCGUGAAUGGAACUAUAAAAAAGGUUGAAGGGAGCUGGCUUGCCCCUUGCACCACAAGAGGACACAUAGAAGGUGCUGUCUUAUGAGGCAGAGAGCAUGCCCUCCCCAGACAGAGAACCUGUUGGCACCUUGAUCUUGGACUUCCCAGCCUCUAGAACCACAGGUUGUUAAACUGAACCAUCUUGACUGGCCCCAGCCAAGUUUCUUACAGUGGAAAUGGCACAUUAACUAUGCAGCUGUCAUGAGAGAAGUCAGUACUCUUAGAUUCUAACCCAAAAGAAUUCAAAUAUAUUGGAUUUCCUCUCCUGUUCAAUUGGAAUUCAAGGACUUAAUCCACUUUUAAUUACACUGUUCCUGUUGUUGCAUCAAAAGUUCUUGGUGAAGGUUCCGAAGAUGAAGGUGGAGAAAACAAAAAGAGACAGCUGAGAGAGGGGUCAGAACCAGGCAAGGGGACGAAUGAGAGUGAACCUGAGACACUCAAGCUUUAAGGAGAGGAACUGUCUCCAUGAAGGCCCCACAUUUGAGAACACUGGGUAACAGCCUAAGUGGUCUCCUACGGAUUCCUUCUUUUGAGCAGCUUGUUCCUAGCCUGGCAUUCAAUGAACUUGCCACCAACAGAGAAGCAGGCCUCCCUAGCCAUGUGAAAAUGUGAGUCCAUCCUCUUCAAGGAGAACUACAAACCACUGCUCAAGGAAAUAAAAGAAGAUACAAACAAAUGGAAGAACAUUCCAUGCUCAUGGGUAGGAAGAAUCAAUAUCGUGAAAAUGGCCAUACUGCCCAAGGUAAUUUAUAGAUUCAAUGCCAUCCGCAUCGAGCUACCAAUGACUUUCUUCACAGAAUUGGAAAAAACUACUUUAAAGUUCAUAUGGAACCAAAAAAGGGCUCGCAUUGCCAAGUCAAUCCUAAGCCAAAAGAACAAAGCUGGAGGCAUCAUGCUACCUGACUUCAAACUAUACUACAAGUCUACAGUAACCAAAACAGCAUGAUACUGGUACCAAAACAGAGAUAUAGACCAAUGAAACAGAACAGAGUCCUCAGCAAUAAUGCCACAUAUCUACAACUAUCUGAUCUUUGACAAACCUGACAAAAACAAGAAAUGGGGAAACGAUUCCCUAUUUAAUAAAUGGUGCUGGGAAAACUGGCUAGCCAUAUGUAGAAAGCUGAAACUGGAUCCCUUCCUUACACCUUAUACAAAAAUUAAUUCAAGAUGGAUUAAAGACUUAAAUGUUAGACCUAAAACCAUAAAAACCCUAGAAGAAACCUAGGCAAUACCAUUCAGGACAUAAGCAUGGGCAAGAACUUCAUGUCUAAAACACCAAAAGCAAUGGCAACAAAAGCCAAAAUUGACAAAUGGGAUCUAAUUAAACUAAAGAGCUUCUGCACAGCAAAAGAAACUACCAUCAGAGUGAACAGGCAACCUACAGAAUGGGAGAAAAUUUCUGCAAUCUACUCAUCUGACAAAAGGCUAAUAUCCAGAAUCUACAAUGAACUCCAACAAAUUUACAAGAAAAAAACAACGCCAUCAAAAAGUGGGCAAAGGAUAUGAACAGACACUUCUCAAAAGAAGACAUUUGUGCAGCCAAAAAACACAUGAAAAAAUGCUCAUCAUCACUGGCCAUCAGAGAAAUGCAAAUCAAAACCACAAUGAGAUACCAUCUCACACCAGUUAGAAUGGCAAUCAUUAAAAAGUCAGGAAACAACAGGUGCUGGAGAGGAUGUGGAGAAAUAGGAACACUUUUACAAUGUUGGUGGGACUGUAAACUAGCUUAACCAUUGUGGAAGUCAGUGUGGUGAUUCCUCAGGGAUCUAGAACUAGAAUUACCAUUUGACCCAGACAUCCCAUUAUUGGGUAUAUACCCAAAGGAUUAUAAAUCAUGCUGCUCUAAAGACACAUGCACACAUAUGUUUAUUGUGGCACUAUUCACAAUAGCAAAGACUUGGAACCAACCCAAAUGUCCAGCAAUGAUAGACUGGAUUAAGAAAAUGUGGCACAUAUACACCAUGGAAUACUAUGCAGCCAUAAAAAAUGAUGAGUUCAUGUCCUUUUUAGGGACAUGGAUGAAGCUGGAA